rnacentral:rRNA from 1 species
CCUACGGGCUGCAGCAGUGGGGAAUAUUGGACAAUGGGCGAAAGCCUGAUCCAGCCAUGCCGCGUGUGUGAAGAAGGCCUUCGGGUUGUAAAGCACUUUCAGUGGGGAAGAAAGCCUUGGGGCUAAUACCCUCGAGGAAGGACAUCACCCACAGAAGAAGCACCGGCUAACUCCGUGCCAGCAGCCGCGGUAAUACGGAGGGGUGCGAGCGUUAAUCGGAAUUACUGGGCGUAAAGCGCGCGUAGGCGGUCUGAUAAGCCGGUUGUGAAAGCCCCGGGCUCAACCUGGGAACGGCAUCCGGAACUGUCAGGCUAGAGGGCAGGAGAGGAAGGUAGAAUUCCCGGUGUAGCGGUGAAAUGCGUAGAGAUCGGGAGGAAUACCAGUGGCGAAGGCGGCCUUCUGGACUGACACUGACGCUGAGGUGCGAAAGCGUGGGUAGCAAACAGGAUUAGAUACCCCGGUAGUC